rfam:Aedes aegypti strain Liverpool supercont1.535 genomic scaffold, whole genome shotgun sequence.
GGCUCGGUAGCUUAGUUGGUAAAGCGAUCGUCUAGCAUACAAGAGUCCUGGGUUCGAAUCCCAGCCGAGCAC